AUGUUUAGGAGGAAAUCAGUUGGCACGUUCAGGAGGAAAACAAUUAGCCAAAGUUCAGGAGGAAAUCAGUUGGUUGGCUUCUUGGGCAUGGUGUUAGGUUGCCCAGUAGCUAAGCUACCUGCAGUCGUGUGUGUCAGUGCAAUGCCUCUCUUGGCAGAAGUAGUAGCAAUCACUUUCUUUGCAAUAACCCUUUCCUUCUCUAAGGGGCCAUACUCUUUGCCAACAACUUUCCUCUUGGAAGUGGCAUCCUCAGGCUCAAAAUCUGAAUCUUUAUUACCUAAAUUCUUCUUCUUUCUCGCUCGAGUAGCACUUGGUGGAAAACCAUGA
rnacentral:rRNA from 1 species